rnacentral:rRNA from 1 species
CCCUUAUCCUUUGUUGCCAGCGGUCCGGCCGGGAACUCAAAGGAGACUGCCAGUGAUAAACUGGAGGAAGGUGGGGAUGACGUCAAGUCAUCAUGGCCCUUACGACCAGGGCUACACACGUGCUACAAUGGCGCAUACAAAGAGAAGCGACCUCGCGAGAGCAAGCGGACCUCAUAAAGUGCGUCGUAGUCCGGAUUGGAGUCUGCAACUCGACUCCAUGAAGUCGGAAUCGCUAGUAAUCGUGGAUCAGAAUGCCACGGUGAAUACGUUCCCGGGCCUUGUACACACCGCCCGUCACACCAUGGGAGUGGGUUGCAAAAGAAGUAGGUAGCUUAACCUUCGGGAGGGCGCUUACCACUUUGUGAUUCAUGACUGGGGUGAAGUCGUAACAAGGUAACCGUAGGGGAACCUGCGGUUGGAUCACCUCCUU